ACCUGGGCGGAGGAAUAUUCCUUGAACAACAGAAAUUGAAAUGCAUCAACAACAUCGCUAGUUACGGGCAAUUUAUAAUCGCCCUCGCCAUAUCAAUCUGGGGCAAUGGACUGAAACACAUGUGCAUCGACGUAAAGAAAGCAAAACCUCGUGAAGAAGGGCAAAAGAAAAGGAAAUUUGGAAACAAGAAGCUAAAAGCCAUGGAAGAGCUGUUCUUGGAAAAACGGAGAAGCCAAGGAUUUAAAGGUAACAGAAGACUAGCCGAACUAGCCAAGAAAGUUAGAACAACCUUAUCGCAUAAAGUUAACGAUUUGAAUAAAUAGAAGCGACGCAAAGAAGAAAGUGAUGACGAGAAUGAAGGUGAGUGAUGAUGAGUGUUCUCCCAGGAUGCGUCGCACGUAUGAAGCUUCAUAAACGCAUCGCCGCGCCGCCGUGCACGCCGGAAGCGUAAAUGCUUCGUGCGUAGCUGGUUCUUUUCGCUUCAUAACAGAUUUUUCUUAUGUUUCCUUUUUUUUAAGGCUGAGACUGUGCCUUUAACUUUGGUUUUAUUUUACUGAUUUUAGGUUUAAUUUCUGUUCUUUUUUGUAAUCAACAUUAACCUAAAUUUCGUAAUUAGGAUCUGUGCAGAAAUGACUUCUCCGAUGUUGCCUGCAUUUUUAAGUCAAAAGUGGCAUUUGUAAUAUAUUUGCAGAGAAAGGAUUUAAAAUUUUCCAAGUGCGUAGAGUUAUGCACAUUUGAAGGUGUGAAGGGGUUUGAAGUAUUUUAAAGGAAUAUAAGAGACUUAAAAUUAAAGGAUUGAAGCGAAUUAGUUUCUAAUACUUUUUUUUAAUAUAUGGGGUGUUCCAGAACUAAGUGUUUGGACUUUAUGACUGUAUAUACGAAAAACAAUAAACCGAAGCUUUCUUUGGAAAAAAUGUUUAGAAGUUUUAGUUUUUGAGUUACCAUAUGAAAUGACUAAUCCGGAUCAAUCAAGAGCGCCGUGUACGUGCUUGAGAGGGAGGCUGACGCUGUAUUAGUGACAGAUUCCAAGGGAUGGAAAGGCAGUGGUCACUGUUACAAAGCAUGACCACUAACAUGGCGCUCCUUAUUGGUCCAGAUUAAUCAUUUCAUAAAUCAAAAACUAAAACUGCAAUACAUUUUUUCGAAACGAAGUUUCGUUAGCUUUUUUUUCUAAUUAUAUACCCAUAUAAGUUCGGACACUAAGUUCUGGGGCACCCUGUAUGUACGCUUUUAUACAUAAAAUAUUUUCUAAAAAAGUUCCUGUGAACUUUUGUUUCAGAAUAAAAGUGGGCCUUCUAUACAAGUUUUUGGUAUAAAAAUAAGAAGCUGAAAAAAUAUCAAAUUUACAAUUUUCCAAAAUAGGCCUAAAUUGAUUUUUUUUUCCUUGGCUCAAAAUAUGUGGGCAACAUCAAAUAACUGAAUCCUUUAAAAAGUGUUUUUUAGUAAGAAUUGUCAAUAAACUUAAGGAGCAAAAAUCCCUAUUUGUGCUACAAGAACCUCCAUAAAAGACCCAAUUAUCGUUUGAUACAAAAAUUUAUAGGAACUUUCUUACUGCAUACUUUAGGUAUAACAAAGGAUACAUAAUUCAAUUACUUAAAAAAAAUUGUCAACAAAUACAAUAAAAGAAUCAUUUUCAUUCGUAGAAAAAGAGCACGAUUGAUUCUUUUCAUUUCUCACUUGAAAUAGAGGGGCUGUUCAGACACGUUAAUCCUGCAAAGAACCAGUGUUAAGUAAGAAGUUGAAGUUGGUUGAAGCUCAACGUGGUAUGCCAAUGUAUCCUCAAAUUUUGUGUUUUUCAUUUUUUUUAUACUAACUUACUUUUUUCUUAUUUAGUUUCCCAAAUUUCCAACUCAAUAGUGCGUUUUAUGUUAACAUAAGUUGGUAAGAAAAAAUUUAACAAAAAAUUCGCCCCACUUUAGUGUCUAUUAAUACAGAUACAUGUAUAUUUAUAUUACAAUAUUUAGCGUUAUAUGUAUAAGAACAAAUAAUUUAUUAUUCGCUUAAGGGUAUCUUAAUGAUAACUUGAAGAGUACAAAAGAAAAAAUGUUUAGGACUGCGUCUACAAAUUCUAGCACCAAUAUAAGUAUUGGUAAGUAUAUUAUACGAAUAAGAAUUAUACUUGCAAGUUCCUUAAUGCCAUUUCAUACUAAACUUGAAAUAAUAAUAAUGAAUUUUUCUUCAAACUUCUGUCUACAAUAAAUGUUGUGCCACAUGUUCCUAAUUACAAGAACAAUGUCCAAAAAUGUAUUCCGUUCUGCUUGUAAAGUAUCUUACGCCAUAUAAAACUUUAUUUACUCUACCAAAUUUUUAAAUUGAUAUCUCAUUUCUCAUUGGGCAAAAAGAAAUGUCUAAAAUUAUUGUGAUGUUGGUAUGACAUGGCCUUAACGGAUUAUUCCAAAUCGUGCAUUUGUGAUAUAAAACGUUUGAGUAGUUCCUAUAAUCAUGUGGGCUUAGUAAUAAAAAUAUAUGUAUAUUGCUUGACCAAAACUUAUCAGUAUCAGUGUUAUCUCAGUAUUAUUAUCAGUUUUCAACUGGCUAUUAUAAGGAUGUUUAUUUUUAUGUAU